UACGGAGGGUGCGAGCGUUGUCCGGAAUCACUGGGCGUAAAGGGCGCGUAGGUGGCGCGGGAAGUCAACGGUGAAAGUUCGGGGCUCAACCCUGAAUCGGCCGUCGAUACUCCCGGGCUCGAGCACUGUAGAGGCAGAUGGAAUUCCGGGUGUAGCGGUGAAAUGCGUAGAGAUCGGGAGGAACACCAGAGGCGAAGGCGGCAAGCUGGAUGGGCACUGACACUCAACUACGAAAGCGUGGGGAGCAAACAGG
rnacentral:rRNA from 1 species